rnacentral:rRNA from 1 species
UACGAAGGGGGCUAGCGUUGUUCGGAAUUACUGGGCGUAAAGCGCGCGCAGGCGGUUCUUCGAGUCAGUGGUGAAAGCCCGGAGCUCAACUCCGGAACUGCCAUUGAAACUGUAGAACUUGAGGAUGAGAGAGGUGAGUGGAAUUCCCAGUGUAGAGGUGAAAUUCGUAGAUAUUCGGAAGAACACCAGUGGCGAAGGCGGCUCACUGGCCCGGUACUGACGCUGAGGUGCGAAAGCGUGGGGAGCAAACAGG